UACCAGCACCCCGAGUGGUCGGGACGAUUAUUGGGCCUAAAGCAUCCGUAGCCGGUUCUACAAGUCUUCCGUUAAAUCCAACUGCUUAACAGGUGGGCUGCGGAAGAUACUAUAGAGCUAGGAGGCGGGAGAGGCAAGCGGUACUCGAUGGGUAGGGGUAAAAUCCGUUGAUCCAUUGAAGACCACCAGUGGCGAAGGCGGCUUGCCAGAACGCGCUCGACGGUGAGGGAUGAAAGCUGGGGGAGCAACCGG
rnacentral:rRNA from 1 species